rnacentral:rRNA from 1 species
AUUGAACGCUGGCGGCAUGCCUUACACAUGCAAGUCGAACGGCAGCACGGGUGCUUGCACCUGGUGGCGAGUGGCGAACGGGUGAGUAAUACAUCGGAACGUACCUUAUCGUGGGAGUAAUACCGGAUGAGCCCUUCGGGGGAAAGAUUUAUCGCCAAAGGAUCGGCCCGCGUUGGAUUAGGUAGUUGGUGGGGUAAUGGCCUACCAAGCCGACGAUCCAUAGCUGGUUUGAGAGGAUGAUCAGCCACACUGGGACUGAGACACGGCCCAGACUCCUACGGGAGGCAGCAGUGGGGAAUCUUAGACAAUGGGGGAAACCCUGAUCUAGCCAUGCCGCGUGAUCGAUGAAGGCCUUAGGGUUGUAAAGAUCUUUCAGAUGGGAAGAUAAUGACGGUACCAUCAGAAGAAGCCCCGGCUAACUCCGUG